GUUCUACCUGAUGAUGGGGCCAGAACAAGCCCUGAAAUGUCAGUUCUACCUGAUGAUGGGGCCAGAACAAGCCCUGAAAUGUUGUACCAAACAAUAAA